rnacentral:piRNA from 1 species
CGUUUGAAAAGUGCAACUUAA